CGGAUGUUGGCCUGCCAGGUAAUGUCCCUCCAUUUGCAUCUUGUUUUUUCUAUCUAUGUAGCCAUGGAGAACACGUGCCACAAUUUACAGGGGAUGGUCAUCUUAUCUGUAAAAUAAAGUGUUCCCGUCAGAUGAUCCCCAGUAUGCUGAGUUGUGUUUCUCUGGGAGCAGCCAAGGUGAAGUUUUCAACCAGGCCGACCAACUUCAGAGUCCACUGGCUUCAAAACAGUGCUUUACAUCCUCCUUCCAACAUUAUUCACAAGCCGAUCAAGACUGAGAGAGUCACAAGUGUGUGAAACCUGUAUUCUUUCUGACUUCAUUUUCCCUGGUCGAAAUUUUUGUAGAAUAGACAAAUCAAGAAUGAUGACUUCUUAAGAUGCAGUAUUCAAGUUCAGAAAUCUAUACUCAGAUGACCUUAUGUAGGUCAUCUGCUUCUGAGGUUUAUCUCACCAGUGGUUUUCUUCUGAUUGCCAAGUGUUCUUUUUACCCCCAACAGGCAUCCUGACUCAAGCUGUAUACAUUUGCAAUAUCUGAUUUUUAACCACACACUCUUCAUCCUAUUGACCCAGAGUGAAAAUUGAUACUCUUAGCUGAAGGACUGUUCCCUUGAGUAUAUUUAAACCAGACCAAUCUCUGUGUUUAAUCUGGGUUCAUCAGGAACCAUUAGCCUUGAUUGGUUUGUUUUUCUCCCCCUCCAUCUCAGGACUUGAUUCUAUUGAGUUAACAACUAUUCUCCCCAGAGAACAGCUACCGCAAGCCUGUUUCAAGUAAUUCCAAUAUCUGGCUCUUAGAAAUUGAACUGAUCUUUUUUUUCUUUAGUUUUAUGUGAAGAACUGCAGUAAUGAAUUCUGAAUUUGUUCAAAUCAUUGAAGAUGUGUGAAGACAAAACAUUCACUCAAAUCUCUAUCAUGUUAGCAUGUUAUUUAUCAUUGCUCUGUUCUUCAUUGUUGAAUAAUGCAAUUGAGUUAAAAAGAAUAAACAUUAUUUACCGAAG
rnacentral:lncRNA from 1 species